GCAUCAGCGCCUCGCGACGAUAUACCGUGAACCCCGUCAGGCCCGGAAGGGAGCAGCGGCAGCGGUGGACUCGGGCGCCGGGGUAAGCGGGUGCAGG
rnacentral:SRP_RNA from 1 species